GAUGAACGCUAGCGGCAGGCUUAACACAUGCAAGUCGAGGGGCAGCAUAAUGGAUAGCAAUAUCUAUGGUGGCGACCGGCGCACGGGUGCGUAACGCGUAUGCAACCUACCUUUAACAGGGGGAUAACACUGAGAAAUUGGUACUAAUACCCCAUAAUAUCAUAGAAGGCAUCUUUUAUGGUUGAAAAUUCCGAUGGUUAGAGAUGGGCAUGCGUUGUAUUAGCUAGUUGGUGGGGUAACGGCUCACCAAGGCGACGAUACAUAGGGGGACUGAGAGGUUAACCCCCCACACUGGUACUGAGACACGGACCAGACUCCUACGGGAGGCAGCAGUGAGGAAUAUUGGUCAAUGGACGCAAGUCUGAACCAGCCAUGCCGCGUGCAGGAUGACGGCUCUAUGAGUUGUAAACUGCUUUUGUACGAGGGUAAACGCAGAUACGUGUAUCUGUCUGAAAGUAUCGGACGAAUAAGGAUCGGCUAACUCCGUG
rnacentral:rRNA from 1 species